rnacentral:rRNA from 1 species
GACGAACGCUGGCGGCGUGCUUAACACAUGCAAGUCGAACGGAAAGGCCCUGCUUUUGUGGGGUGCUCGAGUGGCGAACGGGUGAGUAACACGUGAGUAACCUGCCCUUGACUUUGGGAUAACUUCAGGAAACUGGGGCUAAUACCGGAUAGGAGCUCCUGCUGCAUGGUGGGGGUUGGAAAGUUUCGGCGGUUGGGGAUGGACUCGCGGCUUAUCAGCUUUUUGGUGGGGUAGUGGCUUACCAAGGCUUUGACGGGUAGCCGUCCUGAGAGGGUGACCGGCCACAUUGGGACUGAGAUACGGCCCAGACUCCUACGGGAGACAGCAGUGGGGAAUAUUGCACAAUGGGAUGAAGCCUGAUGCAGCAACGCCGCGUGCGGGAUGACGGCCUUCGGGUUGUAAACCGCUUUCGCCUGUGACGAAGCGUGAGUGACGGUAAUGGGUAAAGAAGCACCGGCUAAGUACGUG